rnacentral:rRNA from 1 species
UACGUAGGGUGCGAGCGUUAAUCGGAAUUACUGGGCGUAAAGCGUGCGCAGGCGGUUUUGUAAGACAGAGGUGAAAUCCCCGGGCUCAACCUGGGAACUGCCUUUGUGACUGCAAGGCUCGAGUGCGGCAGAGGGGGAUGGAAUUCCGCGUGUAGCAGUGAAAUGCGUAGAUAUGCGGAGGAACACCGAUGGCGAAGGCAAUCCCCUGGGCCUGCACUGACGCUCAUGCACGAAAGCGUGGGGAGCAAACAGG